rnacentral:lncRNA from 1 species
GGCGGGCGCGGGCAGGGGAAGGAGGCGGAGGAGGAGCAGCGGGAGGAGGGGUCAGAGGAGAAGCGGGCGCGGGGAGGAAAAGCAGGAGGAGGCAGAGGCGGUCCGGGCCGGGCCUGACCCCUGCGUCCCGGGGGCACAGGCGUUCUUAAGGCUGCAGAGCCCUGGGUCCCCCACCCGGCCCCGGUUCACUUUGAGCGGUCCCAAGGCCUGAGGGCCUACUGUCCAGUCCCCGGGUUAUCGUCCUGAGCAAAGACAGACCCCGAGCCCUGCGGUCUUGGGGCUCAAACAGUCCCUGGAUGGCCAAACAAGCGAAUAUUCGCCAUGGCAGUGGGUGCUGGAAGGGUGGCUCACGGAGCUGACGCCCUCUGCAGAGAACCGUGGUCUAGUCCUGCGGUCACGAGGCCUAUCUGGGACAGUGGUGUUUGAGCUGAGACUUUAACGAAUAGAGACAGGUGAGGUUCCUGCAGCCCAGGGCAUCAGGCACUGUGCUAAGCAGUUUUCCUGGAAGUGUCUACCUCAUUUCGUUCGCUGAAUAGCUCUAAGAGUGUGAACAACCCCAGAAGGAAAAAGAGUGCUGUUGUUAAAGGUAUCUGGCAUCGUGGACCCAACCAUCACCAGGAGUUUCUCACUUCAUCUCUGCUUUAUUGUAGUAUAAUUUGCAUACAAUAAUGGCACACAUUUAAUGUGCACAGUGUGAUAAAUUUUGACAUAUGUAUACAUCCAUGAAGCCGGCACCACAAUCAAGAUAAUGAACAUCUCGCUUACCGCAGAAGUUUCCUGUGCCCUCUCACUCCUCCGUAUUCCUCCA